rnacentral:lncRNA from 1 species
CUUCGGAGGAGUUAGCGAAAUUACAAUGUGUGCGGAUCGGCAAAAAAUGCGGAAUAACCCUUUAACCGUACAUUUGACAGAUACGUGCGCAUUGACUUUUUUGUAGAUCUUAUUGAGAUACAUGUGUGUGUCAAUUUUGGUGUCAUUUUGCCAAAGCGUACAGGUGUUACACUCAACAAUGUGUAUUUUCACCUUAGGGGACAAGAAAAAAUGGACUUUUUUCUCCUGCCAUGGGGGGCGCUCUUUUGGGGAGUAAAAAUUCCUUCACAAAUGUGUUGAUGGCUGGACAUUGCAUCAUCCUAGAAAACUUGGAGGCCAGUGAGGGCAAAAAUAAAAAGUUAUAAGACUUUUAAAUAUGUGGAUCUUAGGGUUAUCUUUGGCGCCCCCUAGAACCUAAACCGUGGGGUGCAGCGUCAUGAUUUGAAUAACUUUUAAUGGCCAUGGGGUGUAGAUUGGCCUGAGCAAAUGUGGUGCCGGUGGAACGAAAGCCUUCGGAGGAGUUAGCGAAAUUCCAAUGUGUGCGGAUCGGCAAAAAAUGCGAAAUAACCCUUUAACCGUACAUUUGACAGAUACGCCCGCACUGACUUUUUUGUAGAUCUUAUUGAGAUACAUGUGUGUGUCAAUUUUUGUGUCAUUUUGACAAAGCGUACCGGCGUGACAGUGAAUAGUGUGAAUUUUCACCUUAGGGGGCGCUAUGGAGCCAUUUUGCAUUUUCUUGUUUGGGCGACUUCGGAAUAUCAAAUUUUUCACCAGGCCCGGUCGUCCUGCCAAAUUUCAUGAGUUUUCGCCAGUGGGAAGUGGGCCAUUUUCCAGUUCAAAGGGGAGGAAAAAUAAUAACUAGGGCCCCGUUGGGGCACUGGCGGGCCCGAGCCGUGUCACGCCGCCCCCAGCGCGACCACCUCCCCCACCCGAGCGCGUCACACUCAAGGUCCAAAGAUGGUGUGCGCACUUGUUUGUGGUCAUUUACCAUUAUAAUGAACGGGAGGCGCAGUUUCUACCAAAACGCUCGCUGCAGAAAAACUCCAUGUCCUAUUUGAAAAAAGUCUGGACCAUGAGUGAGGGCACAAACACAGCUAAGAUAUAUCCAAAUGGCAAGUUGCUCCUCCUUUCGCUUUUGCCGAGAGAGCAGUGCGUUUGAGCCAUUGAAUGAUGAACAGGAAAAACUUGACUUUAUUCUCCUGCCAUGGGGGGGGCGCUCUUUUAACGAGAAAAACUCCUUCACAAAUGUGUUGAUGGCUGGACAUUGCAUCAUCCUAGAAAACAUGGAGGCCAGUGAGGACAAAAAUAAAAAGUUAUAAGACUUUUAAAUAUGUGGAUUUUAGGGUUAUCUUUGGCGCCCCCUAGAACCUAAACCGUGGGGUGCAGCGUCAUGAUUUGAAUAACUUUUAAUGGCCAUGGGGUGUAGAUUGGCCUGAGCAAAUGUGGUGCCGGUGGAAAGAAAGCCUUCGGAGGAGUUAGCUAAAUUCCAAUGUGUGCGAAUCUGCAAAAAAUGCGAAAUAACCCUUUAACCGUACAUUUUACAGAUACGUGGCCAUUGACUUUUUCGAAGAUCUUAUUGAAAGACACGUGUAUGUAAAAUUUUGUGUCAAUACGACAAAACAUACAGGCGUAGCACUCAACAAUGUGUAUUUUCACCUUAGUGGACAAGAAAAAAUGGACUUUUUUCUCCUGCCAUGGGGGGGCGCUCUUUUGGCGAGUAAAAAUUCCUUCACAAAUGUGUUGAUGGCUGGACAUUGCAUCAUCCUAGAAAACUUGGAGGCCAGUGAGGACAAAAAUAAAAAGUUAUAAGACUUUUAAAUAUGUGGAUUUUACGGUUAUCUUUGGCGCCCCCUAGAACCUAAACCGUGGGGUGCAGCGUCAUGAUUUGAAUAACUUUUAAUGGCCAUGGGGUGUAGAUUGGCCUGAGCAAAUGUGGUGCCGGUGGAACGAAAGCCUUCGGAGGAGUUAGCGAAAUUCCAAUGUGUGCGGAUCGGCAAAAAAUGCGGAAUAACCCUUUAACCGUACAUUUGACAGAUACGUGCGCAUUGACUUUUUUGUAGAUCUUAUUGAGAUACAUGUGUGUGUCAAUUUUGGUGUCAUUUUGCCAAAGCCUACAGGUGUUACACUCAACAAUGUGUAUUUUCACCUUAGGGGACAAGAAAAAAUGGACUUUUUUCUCCUGCCAUGGGGGGCGCUCUUUUGGGGAGUAAAAAUUCCUUCACAAAUGUGUUGAUGGCUGGACAUUGCAUCAUCCUAGAAAACUUGGAGGCCAGUGAGGGCAAAAAUAAAAAGUUAUAAGACUUUUAAAUAUGUGGAUCUUAGGGUUAUCUUUGGCGCCCCCUAGAACCUAAACCGUGGGGUGCAGCGUCAUGAUUUGAAUAACUUUUAAUGGCCAUGGGGUGUAGAUUGGCCUGAGCAAAUGUGGUGCCGGUGGAACGAAAGCCUUCGGAGGAGUUAGCGAAAUUCCAAUGUGUGCGGAUCGGCAAAAAAUGCGAAAUAACCCUUUAACCGUACAUUUGACAGAUACGCCCGCACUGACUUUUUUGUAGAUCUUAUUGAGAUACAUGUGUGUGUCAAUUUUUGUGUCAUUUUGACAAAGCGUACCGGCGUGACAGUCAAUAGUGUGAAUUUUCACCUUAGGGGGCGCUAUGGAGCCAUUUUGCAUUUUCUUGUUUGGGCGACUUCGGAAUAUCAAAUUUUUCACCAGGCCCGGUCGUCCUGCCAAAUUUCAUGAGUUUUCGCCAGUGGGAAGUGGGCCAUUUUCCAGUUCAAAGGGGAGGAAAAAUAAUAACUAGGACCCCGUUGGGGCACUGGCGGGCCCGAGCCGUGUCGCGUCCCCCCCCCAACGCGCUGCCUCCCCGUCCCAUUUGUGUCCUCUGGCCAUCGCCCUCUCUGGUAACGCCCAUCACUGCAAAGACCCUUUUCCUUCAUCGGCGUUUGCUGUUCUUCCUGCCAGUGCGUGUUGCUUUCACUUACACUUGCCACAGCCAGCCUCGUGAGUGCCUAGCCUAUUGGAUAUCACUGUCACCUACACAGGACAGUCAUUACCUUUCUAUUAAUACUUUGUGUUUUAAUUUCACAUUAAUUUCCAUAUUGUAUAAACGACUGGAAAAAACUUGAGCCCCUGCCCCUGUAUAAUCAUGUGCAUGUCUCUGUUCUAGCUCCAAGGUGAAUCUUCACUGCUCAUGUUCUCCUCAGAAGCACUCACCUCACUCCCCUCAGGUUACUGUACACAUGCACCAACUGCCUGCUUCAGGUUUGGAUGGAGCUUCAUGGUUGUCUUUUGGAGAAAUGAGCAGUCAAGUUGUGUUUGAAAUUUGAUUUUUUUCAGGGGCAAAAGGAGCCUCUGCAUUCUUGUCAAAUAUGUAAAUAGCAUGUUUUUGCAGGUGCUAAAAACCAGACUCUGAGUGUGUGUGUGUGUGUGUGUGUGUGUGUGUGUGUGUGUGUGCGUGUCUGUGUGUGCGUUCAAGUCACAUGACAUAUUUAACCGGAUGUAGCUGCAAGACGGAGCCUUGUUGACUCUCCGUUUCAACUUAUCUCAAAAGUGAGGACCUCAACCUAUAUACCAGUUUUUAAAUUGUGUUGAUAGGCCAAAUAAAACCAGAGUUAUGAUAAAUUAUGUCCGCGAUACUUGUUUUCUGCUUAUUUUGAUCACGUUCGGCGCUCGAUCGCGCUGUAUGAGACAGGAAAACAUAGCAUGCAGACAUUAGCGACAGGUCUUACAGGCGGAAAAGGCUUGCCAAAAGAAAAAAAAACACACCACAACAUCUCUCCUAUUGGUGGAAAACUUCACCACAACAACCAAUCCAAAAUUAUAUGGUGACUGAUUGACAAGGGGCGGGCGCUUACGUUCUUCCUGCAACAUGAGAAGGGAGGGAGGGACUCUCAGCAGGGAUGCAGUCUGGGACACGUAGUUGCAAACCUAGCGACUUUGUUGUUAGAUUCAAUGACUUUUCAGACCCCCUAACGACUUUUUUUUAGAAAGAAAGGGACUUUUAUCGACUUCUUCUGGAGUUUAGAGACUCUGACAUGAAGCAGGCUUUCCUUACUGAGGAGUUAGCAACGCUGCUAAGGGUGCAGAGCCACACAUGCGCUCAGAGCUCUGCAUGGGAGACUGAAGCUGACAGAGCUGCAGCAGUUAGCAGGUUUCACCCUCAGAGACCACCAGGGGUUCAUGUUGAGGCAUUUUAAUUUUUUUUUUUUUUGUGCCAUAGACACUGUCAGCACAAUCUGCAGUUACACUAACAAAAAUGCUGCAAAAAACAAAGAAUUAUGGAAAAAUUACACAUGGACUGACAUACAGGAGGAUCUACACAAGUUUUUUACAUCAUGUUUUACAUCAUGCAUCAUUUACAUCAUGUUUUUUUGUAGUGGCAUAAAUAAAAAGUGACAUUUGUGAGACUAUACAGUGUUUUGUAAAUAAUUUUACAAAGAACGCCUGGGCCAUUGCCUGCAUUUUGAUGUAAAUAGAGGUAAAUCACUAUGUUCUUUGUUAAAAAUUUGCAUAUGUUUUGAAGUUUACAAUUUUUAUUUGAAGUUUAAGUUUUAAAAACAGUUCAUCACACAUAUUUGUGGUUUUCACAGUAAAAAUGUUACUUUUUUCCACUCGGAUUUUAUGUUUUGUGUGUGAAUUUGGGUCCAUUGUGUAAAUUCAGUAUGUCAACAUGAUGAAAUAACUGUAAAUUCGCACAGGUGAGGUUGUGCUGAAAAAAAUGAUACCAGGCAAGGCACGUGAUUGUCAAAUUUUGUGUCAAUAUGACAAAGCGUAUAGGCGUGAAUCUCAACAAUAUGUAUUUUCACCUUAGGGGACAAGAAAAAAUGGACUUUUUUCUCCUGCCAUGGGGGGGCGCUCUUUUGGGGAGUAAAAAUUCCUUCACAAAUGUGUUGAUGGCUGGACAUUGCAUCAUCCUAGAAAACUUGGAGGCCAGUGAGGACAAAAAUAAAAAGUUAUAAGACUUUUAAAUAUGUGGAUUUUAGGGUUAUCUUUGGCGCCCCCUAGAACCUAAACCGUGGGGUGCAGCGUCAUGAUUUUGAUAACUUUUAAUGGCCAUGGGGUGUAGAUUGGCCUGAGCAAAUGUGGUGCCGGUGGAACGAAAGCCUUAGGAGGAGUUAGCCACAUUCCAAUGUGUGCGGAUCGGCAAAAAAUGCGGAAUAACCCUUUAACCGUACAUUUGACAGAUACGCGCGCAUUGACUUUUUCGUAGAUCUUAUUGAGUUACAUGUGUGUGUCAAAUUUUGUGUCAAUAUGACAAAGCGUAUAGGCGUGACACUCAACAAUGUGUAUUUUCACCUUAGGGGACAAGAAAAAAUGGACUUUUUUCUCCUGCCAUGGGGGGGCGCUCUUUUGGGGAGUAAAAAUUCCUUCACAAAUGUGUUGAUGGCUGGACAUUGCAUCAUCCUAGAAAACUUGGAGGCCAGUGAGGACAAAAAUAAAAAGUUAUAAGACUUUUAAAUAUGUGGAUUUUAGUGUUAUCUUUGGCGCCCCCUAGAACCUAAACCUUGGGGUGCAGCGUCAUGAUUUUGAUAACUUUUAAUGGCCACGGGGUGUAGAUUGGCCUGAGCAAAUGUGGUGCCGGUGGAACGAAAGCCUUCGGAGGAGUUAGCGAAAUUCCAAUGUGUGCAGAUCGGCAAAAAAUGCGAAAUAACCCUUUAACCGUAAUUUUGACAGAUACGGCCGCACUGACUUUUUUGUAGAUCUUAUUGAGAUACAUGUGUGUGUCAAUUUUUGUGUCAUUUUGACAAAGCGUACAGUCGUGACAGUGAAUAGUGUGAAUUUUCACCUUAGGGGGCGCUAUGGAGCCAUUUUGCAUUUUAUUGUUUUGGCGACUUCAGAAUAUCAAAUUUUUCACCAGGCCCGGUCGUCCUGCCAAAUUUCAUGAGUUUUUGCCAGUGGGAAGUGGGCCAUUUUCCAGUUCAAAGGGGAGGAAAAAGAAAAAAGAAAGAAAGAAACAAAGAAAAACCACUUGGGGAAUAAUAGGGCCUACGCCCGGCUGCUCUGCAGCUGGCUCGGGCCCUAAUAAUAACAAAAGAAGGAAACUACAGGAACAAGAGGGCUCUCGCAGCUGCUUAGCAGCUACGCUCGGGCCCUAACUAGGACCCCGUUGGGGCACUGGCGGGCCCGAGCCGUGUCGCGUCCCCCCCAACGUGCUGCCUCCCCGUCCCAUUUGUGUCCUCUGGCCAUCGCCCUCUCUGGUAACGCCCAUCACUGCAAAGACCCUUUUCCUUCAUCGGCGUUUGCUGUUCUUCCUGCCAGUGCGUGUUGCUUUCACUUACACUUGCCACAGCCAGCCUCGUGAGUGCCUAGCCUAUUGGAUAUCACUGUCACCUACACAGGACAGUCAUUACCUUUCUAUUAAUACUUUGUGUUUUAAUUUCACAUUAAUUUCCAUAUUGUAUAAACGACUGGAAAAAACUUGAGCCCCUGCCCCUGUAUAAUCAUGUGCAUGUCUCUGUUCUAGCUCCAAGGUGAAUCUUCACUGCUCAUGUUCUCCUCAGAAGCACUCACCUCACUCCCCUCAGGUUACUGUACACAUGCACCAACUGCCUGCUUCAGGUUUGGAUGGAGCUUCAUGGUUGUCUUUUGGAGAAAUGAGCAGUCAAGUUGUGUUUGAAAUUUGAUUUUUUUCAGGGGCAAAAGGAGCCUCUGCAUUCUUGUCAAAUAUGUAAAUAGCAUGUUUUUGCAGGUGCUAAAAACCAGACUCUGAGUGUGUGUGUGUGUGUGUGUGUGUGUGUGUGUGUGUGUGUGCGUGUCUGUGUGUGCGUUCAAGUCACAUGACAUAUUUAACCGGAUGUAGCUGCAAGACGGAGACUUGUUGACUCUCCGUUUCAACUUAUCUCAAAAGUGAGGACCUCAACCUAUAUACCAGUUUUUAAAUUGUGUUGAUAGGCCAAAUAAAACCAGAGUUAUGAUAAAUUAUGUCCGCGAUACUUGUUUUCUGCUUAUUUUGAUCACGUUCGGCGCUCGAUCGCGCUGUAUGAGACAGGAAAACAUAGCAUGCAGACAUUAGCGACAGGUCUUACAGGCGGAAAAGGCUUGCCAAAAGAAAAAAAAACACACCACAACAUCUCUCCUAUUGGUGGAAAACUUCACCACAACAACCAAUCCAAAAUUAUAUGGUGACUGAUUGACAAGGGGCGGGCGCUUACGUUCUUCCUGCAACAUGAGAAGGGAGGGAGGGACUCUCAGCAGGGAUGCAGUCUGGGACACGUAGUUGCAAACCUAGCGACUUUGUUGUUAGAUUCAAUGACUUUUCAGACCCCCUAACGACUUUUUUUUAGAAAGAAAGGGACUUUUAUCGACUUCUUCUGGAGUUUAGAGACUCUGACAUGAAGCAGGCUUUCCUUACUGAGGAGUUAGCAACGCUGCUAAGGGUGCAGAGCCACACAUGCGCUCAGAGCUCUGCAUGGGAGACUGAAGCUGACAGAGCUGCAGCAGUUAGCAGGUUUCACCCUCAGAGACCACCAGGGGUUCAUGUUGAGGCAUUUUAAUUUUUUUUUUUUUGUGCCAUAGACACUGUCAGCACAAUCUGCAGUUACACUAACAAAAAUGCUGCAAAAAACAAAGAAUUAUGGAAAAAUUACACAUGGACUGACAUACAGGAGGAUCUACACAAGUUUUUUACAUCAUGUUUUACAUCAUGCAUCAUUUACAUCAUGUUUUUUUGUAGUGGCAUAAAUAAAAAGUGACAUUUGUGAGACUAUACAGUGUUUUGUAAAUAAUUUUACAAAGAACGCCUGGGCCAUUGCCUGCAUUUUGAUGUAAAUAGAGGUAAAUCACUAUGUUCUUUGUUAAAAAUUUGCAUAUGUUUUGAAGUUUACAAUUUUUAUUUGAAGUUUAAGUUUUAAAAACAGUUCAUCACACAUAUUUGUGGUUUUCACAGUAAAAAUGUUACUUUUUUCCACUCGGAUUUUAUGUUUUGUGUGUGAAUUUGGGUCCAUUGUGUAAAUUCAGUAUGUCAACAUGAUGAAAUAACUGUAAAUUCGCACAGGUGAGGUUGUGCUGAAAAAAAUGAUACCAGGCAAGGCACGUGAUUGUCAAAUUUUGUGUCAAUAUGACAAAGCGUAUAGGCGUGAAUCUCAACAAUAUGUAUUUUCACCUUAGGGGACAAGAAAAAAUGGACUUUUUUCUCCUGCCAUGGGGGGCGCUCUUUUGGGGAGUAAAAAUUCCUUCACAAAUGUGUUGAUGGCUGGACAUUGCAUCAUCCUAGAAAACUUGGAGGCCAGUGAGGACAAAAAUAAAAAGUUAUAAGACUUUUAAAUAUGUGGAUUUUAGGGUUAUCUUUGGCGCCCCCUAGAACCUAAACCGUGGGGUGCAGCGUCAUGAUUUUGAUAACUUUUAAUGGCCAUGGGGUGUAGAUUGGCCUGAGCAAAUGUGGUGCCGGUGGAACGAAAGCCUUAGGAGGAGUUAGCCACAUUCCAAUGUGUGCGGAUCGGCAAAAAAUGCGGAAUAACCCUUUAACCGUACAUUUGACAGAUACGCGCGCAUUGACUUUUUCGUAGAUCUUAUUGAGUUACAUGUGUGUGUCAAAUUUUGUGUCAAUAUGACAAAGCGUAUAGGCGUGACACUCAACAAUGUGUAUUUUCACCUUAGGGGACAAGAAAAAAUGGACUUUUUUCUCCUGCCAUGGGGGGGCGCUCUUUUGGGGAGUAAAAAUUCCUUCACAAAUGUGUUGAUGGCUGGACAUUGCAUCAUCCUAGAAAACUUGGAGGCCAGUGAGGACAAAAAUAAAAAGUUAUAAGACUUUUAAAUAUGUGGAUUUUAGUGUUAUCUUUGGCGCCCCCUAGAACCUAAACCUUGGGGUGCAGCGUCAUGAUUUUGAUAACUUUUAAUGGCCACGGGGUGUAGAUUGGCCUGAGCAAAUGUGGUGCCGGUGGAACGAAAGCCUUCGGAGGAGUUAGCGAAAUUCCAAUGUGUGCAGAUCGGCAAAAAAUGCGAAAUAACCCUUUAACCGUAAUUUUGACAGAUACGGCCGCACUGACUUUUUUGUAGAUCUUAUUGAGAUACAUGUGUGUGUCAAUUUUUGUGUCAUUUUGACAAAGCGUACAGUCGUGACAGUGAAUAGUGUGAAUUUUCACCUUAGGGGGCGCUAUGGAGCCAUUUUGCAUUUUAUUGUUUUGGCGACUUCAGAAUAUCAAAUUUUUCACCAGGCCCGGUCGUCCUGCCAAAUUUCAUGAGUUUUUGCCAGUGGGAAGUGGGCCAUUUUCCAGUUCAAAGGGGAG